UGAAAGAGGGCAUGUCUAAUAACAGC
rnacentral:piRNA from 1 species